CCUACGGGGGGCUGCAGUGAGGAAUAUUGGUCAAUGGACGAGAGUCUGAACCAGCCAAGUAGCGUGAAGGAUGACUGCCCUAUGGGUUGUAAACUUCUUUUAUAUGGGAAUAAAACGUUCCACGUGUGGGAUUUUGUAUGUACCAUAUGAAUAAGGAUCGGCUAACUCCGUGCCAGCAGCCGCGGUAAUACGGAGGAUCCGAGCGUUAUCCGGAUUUAUUGGGUUUAAAGGGAGCGUAGGUGGAUUGUUAAGUCAGUUGUGAAAGUUUGCGGCUCAACCGUAAAAUUGCAGUUGAAACUGGCAGUCUUGAGUACAGUAGAGGUGGGCGGAAUUCGUGGUGUAGCGGUGAAAUGCUUAGAUAUCACGAAGAACUCCGAUUGCGAAGGCAGUUCACUGGACUGCAACUGACACUGAGGCUCGGAAGUGUGGGUAUCAAACAGGAUUAGAUACCCCAGUAGUC
rnacentral:rRNA from 1 species